UAAAUACUCCCUCCGUUCGGAAUUACUUGUCGUAGAAAUGGAUGUAUCUAGAUGUAUUUUAGUUCUAGAUACAUCCAUUUCCGAGACAAGUAAUUCCGAACGGAGGGAGUAGAAC
rnacentral:pre_miRNA from 1 species